rnacentral:rRNA from 1 species
UACGUAGGGCGCAAGCGUUGUCCGGAAUUAUUGGGCGUAAAGAGCUCGUAGGCGGCCAGUUGCGUCUGCUGUGAAAUCCCGGGGCUCAACCCCGGGCGUGCAGUGGAUACGGGCUGGCUAGAGGCAGGCAGGGGAGAACGGAAUUCCCGGUGUAGCGGUGAAAUGCGCAGAUAUCGGGAGGAACACCGGUGGCGAAGGCGGUUCUCUGGGCCAAUAUUGACGCUGAGGUGCGAAAGCGUGGGGAGCAAACAGG